rnacentral:rRNA from 1 species
UACGUAGGGUGCAAGCGUUGUCCGGAAUUAUUGGGCGUAAAGAGCUCGUAGGCGGUUCGUCGCGUCGGCUGUGAAAACCCGGGGCUCAACCCCGGGCCUGCAGUCGAUACGGGCAAACUAGAGUGUGGUAGGGGAGACUGGAAUUCCUGGUGUAGCGGUGAAAUGCGCAGAUAUCAGGAGGAACACCGGUGGCGAAGGCGGGUCUCUGGGCCAUAACUGACGCUGAGGAGCGAAAGCGUGGGGAGCGAACAGG